rnacentral:rRNA from 1 species
AGCAUCCUACGGGGGGCAGCAGUAGGGAAUCUUUCACAAUGGGCGAAAGCCUGAUGGAGCAACGCCGCGUGGGUGAAGAAGGUCUUCGGAUCGUAAAACCCUGUUGUUAGAGAAGAAAGUGCGUGAGAGUAACUGUUCACGUUUCGACGGUAUCUAACCAGAAAGCCACGGCUAACUACGUGCCAGCAGCCGCGGUAAUACGUAGGUGGCAAGCGUUAUCCGGAUUUAUUGGGCGUAACGGAAACGCAGGCGGUCUUUU